rnacentral:rRNA from 1 species
GUGGGGAAUAUUGCACAAUGGGCGAAAGCCUGAUGCAGCAACGCCGCGUGAGGGACGACGGCCUUCGGGUUGUAAACCUCUUUUAGUAGGGAAGAAGCGAAAGUGACGGUACCUGCAGAAAAAGCACCGGCUAACUACGUGCCAGCAGCCGCGGUAAUACGUAGGGUGCAAGCGUUAUCCGGACUUAUUGGGCGUAAAGAGCUCGUAGGCGGUCUGUCGCGUCUGCUGUGAAAACUGGAGGCUCAACCUCCAGCCUGCAGUGGGUACGGGCAGACUAGAGUGCGGUAGGGGAGAUUGGAAUUCCUGGUGUAGCGGUGGAAUGCGCAGAUAUCAGGAGGAACACCGAUGGCGAAGGCAGAUCUCUGGGCCGUAACUGACGCUGAGGAGCGAAAGCGUGGGGAGCGAACAGGAUUAGAAACCCCAGUAGUCC